UCCAGCUCUCACCUACUCUAACCUUGCCAAACUGAGAAUGCAGCAGGUGAGAUAAGGAGUAUGUGAUCAAUGCCUUGGAUCUAUUGAGUGAUGGUUUUUCAGAACCAUAUUUAUUGCUGCACCUGGACCUCCACAGCUCCCAGCAAACCAAAGGAGGCAUGACCUUAGUAAUAUAUGAAGCCACAGGAUUAAGGACCUUGUGGUUCCA
rnacentral:lncRNA from 1 species